rnacentral:lncRNA from 10 species
AUGAUGAGCCACUUCUACUAAAUGAAUAGUCAGAUUUGAAGAGCGAUACUCUGGUCUGAAGCAUAGAAUGACUAGUCACUGAAUCAGAUUAGAAAACAUAAUGAACACUGCAGGAGCACUGUUGUACCAAGAAGCCUGACGGUCAAAGAAGAACUGCACUUGAUCUUACGCACAAUUAAGCACAGCACCAGACGUUAAGUACUCCAGGGCGAACAAGCAAAGACCCCACAAGGCUAAUUUUCAGAGCUAGUAAAUGAGAGAAGAGAAUACAAGGAAAAUGAAGAAAGACAAAAUAUUAGCAUCUCUGACAUUUACAGAAUAGAUGGGAGAGAAGAACCUGGAGGAAAGCUGUAAAGGGUACAUCAGAGAGGGCCUAUCUUGAGGAUUGGAACAUACGUAGUGGAUAUUCUAUUGUAUUUGCUGAGAGAUUGAUGGAAUCAAUGAUAAAUGAGAAGACUUGUGGAGUGGCAUGCAUGUUUCUGUGGCUUUAAAUGGCAAUGCGAGCUGUGAAAACAGUCACUUCUGAAGGAGUAACAAUUAGUCCUU